rnacentral:rRNA from 1 species
AGCGAACGCUGGCGGCAGGCUUAACACAUGCAAGUCGAGCGGGCACUUUCGGGGUUUUGCGUCGGUCGGGUGGGGAACGCGCGGGGACGGGCGCGCUGGUUCGGAAUACCUAAGCGAGAGUUGAGCUAAUACCGGAUACGCCCUAGUGGCGGAAGGCUUGUAGGCGGAGCAUCGGCCCGCGUUUGAUUAGCUUGCCGGCGAGGUAGCGCAUCACCAAGGCGACGAUUAGUAGCUGGUCUGGGAGGAUGGUCCGCCACACUGGGCCUGGGACACGGCCCGGACUCCUCCGGGAGGCAGCAGUGGGGAAUAUUGGACGCGGGGCGCAGGCCUGCGCCAGCCAUGCCGCGUGAGUCAUGUAGGCGUGAGGGUUGUAAUGCUGUUUUAUCCGGGACGGUAAUGACGGUACCGGAGCAGUAAGCCCCGGCUAACUUCGUG